CUUGAGCCCAUUAUGAUGCGGAGCCACAAUGUGACCCUGCCCCACUUACCCCUGGCAACAGCAGCGACAUUGGCCUAAGAGUGAGACAAUACACACACA